rnacentral:lncRNA from 1 species
UUUUUUUUUUUUUUUACACUGCAUUUAUCCUCAAGUGUCUGAAAAUUCUGGUUGUCCAUUUAUACUUAAGGAUGAGAAAGCAGAGGGGCAGCCUGAGAGCAGUGUCUGUGUGUGUAGACUGCACUUGUUCAUUGCUUCAGUUUAGUAAGAACAGAUCUUGAGCUCAUUGUCAGGUGAGACCUCUUCUAAAAGCUAAAUGCGGCAGGUUUCACUCUCAUCUGGAAGCACCCACAUUGGCUGUCCUCCUUCUUCCCAGAUGUUAGUUCUGCUUCCUUAGAGGAAGAACUCUGAAAUUUUUUUGCUCUGGUUUAGAAGUCAUUUUUAUGCUGCCAUGCAAGAGCUCAAGGAAGAAAGAUGAGAGGAGGUCAACUGACCUCAGUAAAUAUCCACUCAUCUGCCUUACUUCCCAGUCUCCCCUAAACCUGCCCCUGGGGUUUUGUCAUGCUCAUUGGGUCCCUCCCCUGCUGUGGUCCCAUCAAUGUAUUACAUAUGCUGGGCCCUCUUCGUUUCUGAUUUAUCCCAGAUAUUCUUCGGUCCAUUUGUGUCUUCUGGAGCCAAAGUUUUAUGUAUCUAUUUGGUGAGACUACAGUUCCCAGUUAUUCAAUAAAAGGCUAAUCUAGCAGCUGCUGUGAAGGUAUUUGUAGAUGAAAUUAAAAAUCUCCAGUCAGUUGACUUUAAAUGAGAGAGAUCAUUCUAGGUAAUCUGGGUAGGCCUGAUUCAAUUCCUUGGAAGGGUUGAGGCUUCCUUGAGAAAGGAGGUAAUCCACCUGUUGAUGGCUGCUUCAGCUCAUACCUGAGAUCCAGUCUACCCUCCUGAGCCUGGACUGUGGAUUUCACACCUACCUAGUGAGACACAAUGAUCCUGUAAGCCAAUUUUUUGCAAUGUAUCUCUUAAUACAUAUCUCCUAUUUCUCUGUUUGGACUCUGAUACAUUAAAAAAUGUGUUGAAUUCUUUCAUCCAGUCAGCAACUCUUCACCCUAUAUAGUUCUCUUUAUUGUUGUGAAUUUAUACAACUACAUUUCAAUGAAUUAUGGUGAGGGAAGAAGUCAGGUACAUAAAUUUUCUGUCUACCAUUUGGUGCCAGAAGCCCAUGAUUAUUUAAUUCACUCGUUAUUUAGGUUUUCCCAGGUUUUCACGAUUAUUAUUUAUCAUUACUAAUAUUAAUGUUGUGUUGCACAUUGCUGUGUAUGAACCUUGUACAUCUCAAUCUUUCUUUACACUAAAUUCCCAUAAGAGCGAUUGCUGCAUCAAGGAUUUUGAAACCUUUUGUUGUAUAUUGCCGAAUUGUCCUCAGGAACUCAAUACCUCUUUCUCAUUCCCGCCUGAAGUUUGUGAGAGUGGCUAUCAAACUUUUUGAAGUGCUAUGGAACCGGAACACUUUCAAUGGGACUGCUACUACAAAGGACAGAAUCUGAAGCUGUCCCAUACUCAGAAGAACUAGGGAUGGCCAACCCAGAGGAGACACAUGUGGUACAUGAAAACAGUUUUCAAUAGUUUGUCUCAAAGAAGUAAACUAGGACCAAUGACCAGAAUCUAAAGUGAGUGAUUUUUUUUUUUCCUGGCCAACCUAAAAAAGAACAUUAAAUUAAAGAAAAUAAAAAAUAAUAAAAAAAUAAUUUUAAAACCAUGAUAAUAGUAUCCUUACAUGAAAUGGGUGUUCUCAUCACUAGACCUUUCAUGCCCUUCACUGGUGAGCUAUCAAAUAUCAAAUAGUUGGGACUUUGAACCAAAACAUUUUUAAGGAUACUUUCAACCCAAGGAUGCCUGGGUGGCUCAGUGGUUGAGCAUCUGCCUUUGGCUCAGGGUGUGAUCCUGGGGUUCAGGAUCAAGUCUCACAUCGGACUCCCCUCAGGGAGCCUACUUCUACCUCUGCCUAUGUCUCUGCUUCUCUGUGUGUGUCUUUCAUGAAUAAAUAAAUAAAAUCUUUUUUAAAAAAGGAUACUUCCAACCCAGAGCUUCUAGGUGUCUGUGUUUCUGGGCAGAUGUGUAUGCAUGUGAGUGUGUGUUCAUGGAUCCCUUAUUUUGAGAUACAAGUGUUUUUUUGUUUUGUUUUGUUUUUGUUUUUGUUUUGCCAUAAGAUUUAAAAACUAUGAACAGGGAAAGAAGACACAACUGCCUGCAGAUAGGAGAAGGAUAUUACUGAUUAAGCUCAGUUGCUUUCAGAGUUUCAGGUCUGUAGGUUAUAAAUGGUUGCUGAGGGCAGCAGUGAAUGUAUAUUAAGGGUCAAAUCUGGGCUUGUGGAACUUUAAUUUAAAGAUGAGUCUCUAUGACAGGGCUAGAGCCAAUUGUCAAAUGAAUGAUGUUCAGAGAUUGAGAAUGUGAAUAUGGAAGCAGUCUUUUCUGGCUUUAACCUUUGUGAGCUAUGGUC